rnacentral:rRNA from 1 species
GAGCUUGCUCCCUGAUGUUAGCGGCGGACGGGUGAGUAACACGUGGGUAACCUGCCUGUAAGACUGGGAUAACUCCGGGAAACCGGGGCUAAUACCGGAUGCUUGUUUGAACCGCAUGGUUCAAACAUAAAAGGUGGCUUCGGCUACCACUUACAGAUGGACCCGCGGCGCAUUAGCUAGUUGGUGAGGUAAUGGCUCACCAAGGCAACGAUGCGUAGCCGACCUGAGAGGGUGAUCGGCCACACUGGGACUGAGACACGGCCCAGACUCCUACGGGAGGCAGCAGUAGGGAAUCUUCCGCAAUGGACGAAAGUCUGACGGAGCAACGCCGCGUGAGUGAUGAAGGUUUUCGGAUCGUAAAGCUCUGUUGUUAGGGAAGAACAAGUACCGUUCGAAUAGGGCGGUACCUUGACGGUACCUAG